rnacentral:rRNA from 1 species
UGGGGAAUAUUGGACAAUGGGCGAAAGCCUGAUCCAGCCAUGCCGCGUGUGUGAAGAAGGUCUUCGGAUUGUAAAGCACUUUAAGUUGGGAGGAAGGGCAGUAAGUUAAUACCUUGCUGUUUUGACGUUACCGACAGAAUAAGCACCGGCUAACUCUGUGCAAG